rnacentral:rRNA from 1 species
AUUGCACGCUGGCGGCAGGCCUAACACAUGCAAGUCGAGCGAGCGGCGGACGGUUGAGUAGUGUCUGGGAAACUGCCUGAUGGAGGGGGAUAACUACUGGAAACGGUAGCUAAUACCGCAUACCAUCAGAUGUGCCCAGAUGGGAUUAGCUAGUAGGUGGGGUAAUGGCUCACCUAGGCGACGAUCCCUAGCUGGUCUGAGAGGAUGACCAGCCACACUGGAACUGCGAUACGGUCCAGACUCCUCCGGGAGCCAGCAUUGGGGAGUAUUGCACGAAGGGCGAAAGCCUGAUGCAGGCAUGCCGGGUGUGUGAAGAAGGCCUUGGGGUGGAAAAGCACGUUCAGCGGGGAGGCGGUACCCGCAGAGGCAGCACCGGCUAACUCCGAGCCAGCAGCCGCGGUAAUAC